UACGGAGGGGGCUAGUGUUGUUCGGAAUUACUGGGCGUAAAGGGCGCGCAGGCGGCUUGGCAAGUCGAGUGUGAAAUCCCUUGGCUUAACUGAGGAACGGCGCUCGAAACUACCUCGCUGGAGGGCGGGAGAGGGAAGUGGAACUCUCGGUGUAGGGGUGAAAUCUGUAGAUAUCGAGAGGAACACCGGUGGCGAAGGCGGCUUCCUGGCCCGUACCUGACGCUGAGGCGCGAAAGCGUGGGGAGCAAACAGG
rnacentral:rRNA from 1 species